UAACAUUCUCUAAUAGAUUAAUCUCUUCUCAUCAGUUUAAUAUCUGAUGUGUCCUCAUUCCGAGGACUCUAUAUUAAAUGGAUUUUUGGAACAGGGAGAUGGUCCUGGAGCUUGCUCCAGCCGCUCCAUGCAUCAACCUGGUAUUGCAGUGCUUCCAGGAACGGUGUGCUUCCC
rnacentral:snRNA from 1 species